AGGAUGAACGCUGGCGGCGUGCUUAACACAUGCAAGUCGAACGAUGAAGGCUGGAGCUUGCUCUGGCUGGAUUAGUGGCGAACGGGUGAGUAACACGUGAGUAACCUGCCCCAGACUCUGGGAUAAGCGCUGGAAACGGCGUCUAAUACCGGAUACGAGCUUCCACCGCAUGGUGAGGAGCUGGAAAGAUUUCGGUCUGGGAUGGACU
rnacentral:rRNA from 1 species